rnacentral:lncRNA from 1 species
AGAGAUUUUUGAUCAUGCUAUAGUUUACACAACAAACAAACUAGAUGAAGUUUCUUUAAUAAAUUAUUUGAAGCAUUUUUAUGCUUACUUUAAAAAAAAAAAAAAAAAUAAUAGUGAUAAUACUAGUGUUGGCAGUACAAGUGACAGUGUUAGUAAUAAUACCAGUACUAAUACCAGUAACUAUAGAAAAUUGUCAAGUGAAGAGAUUUAUAUAAGUCUCGAAGACUGGAUUGAAUAUAACGAAUUAAUAAAAAACCAGGAUAACUUUUUAUUAACUUUUUUUACGUUGCAGAUUUGUAAAUCUUUGUGGAUAUUGUUAAGUAUAACAUUACAGAGUGUAAGAAAAAAAAAUAACUUAAAAAAACAAAAAACUAUAUUUAAUACUCCAAUAAAUAAGUUACAUUUAUUAAGAAUUUAUAGCGCAGUAGAUGACAGAACACAUAGCGGAGUAGAUAGCGGAAUAUAUAGCGGAGUAGAUAGCGGAAUAUAUAGCGGAGUAAACAACAGAGUAGAUAACAAAGUAGAUAGCAAAGUAAAUAGCAAAAUAAACGAAAAAGAGAAAAAACAUGCCCUUUCAUUGUUUUUUAAGGAUUCACAUAAAAGUAAUAAUAAUAUAGCAACCAAUGAUUAUAAAUUUAAAAACACGUUAAACGAAAAUGAUAAUAAAAGUAACAUACACGACCAAACAAAAGAAACUGUGACAUACUUCAUUCAUGGUUGCCAUCAAAACAACCAAAAUGAAAUUAAUCAAAAAGAAAUUAAUCAAAAAGAAAUUAAUCAAAAAGAAAUUAAUCAAAAAAAUCAAAAUGAUGAUGAAUUUUUAUCUAUUUGGGAGGAAAACUGGUUAAAUGAGUAUAUAUGUAUUGAAAUAGUGAUAUUUUUUAUUAUUCUUCAAUUUCUUAAAAUAGAGAAUGUAAAAAAACAUUAUGAUAAAAUGUUAAGUGAAGAUUGUUGGCCGCAUUUUAUUGACUCACAUAAACUUGGCAAUACUGGUACUACAAUUAACACUAAUGUGAGUACUAAUACUGUUGUUGGAACUAGCAAUACUAACAACAUAUAUUUUAAUAAUUUAAAUACUUCUUCUAUAUGUAAAACAAAUUUAUCUGAUUUUUUUAAUUAUAAUGAAAACAAUUAUAAGCUAUUUUUACGAACUUAUUUAAUAGCCUUUUUGGCUUGUACGGAUAUAACAAAUAUUAUCACUUUAACUGAAACACCACUAUAUUUUAAUUCAUAUCAUUUUUUAAUGCUAGAUUUUAUAAUAGAUACAAAUAAUAAUACAAUACAUAAAUUAUUUAACAACCAUGUCAAUAUACGUAAAGUUUUAUAUAAAACUAAACAUAUAUUGACAUGGUUGUUAAAUAAUUUAUGUAUUGUAAAUGAAAAUAAAAAUUCGACUGUUUCUUGUAACAACUUAACACAAACUUCAUUACAUUCGACUUAUCCAAUUAACAAAAAUUUAGGUGUUGAAAAUGUUGAAGCAAAAAAACAUUACGUAAAUACAAAGUAUGAUGGUGAGAGUAGACAUUACAUCAACCUGAUAGAUGAAGAUAUAUAUGAAAUAAAAAAUUUACAUGGAAAAACAAUAGUUAUAAAUAGUAAUAACAGCUUUAGCAAUAAUAGUAACAAUACCAUUAGCAAUAACAGUAACAACAAAAACAUUAUAAACAUAAUUAAUUGUAAAGAAUGUAAUAUAUUUAUAUUAUCAAAGAUAGAAUAUUUUAAAAUAAAUUUUUGCUCAUAUUGUUAUAUUAUUGUUUUAUCUGUUGAAAUGAUUACAACCUUAUUAAAUUCCAAUAAUAUAGAUAUACAUUUAGUGACAAGAAAUUUAAAAAUUGAAAAUGUUAUAGAUACUAAUGCUUAUGUAUAUACCGAAACAAAUAUCAUAAUAUAUGGUGAUACAAGAAAUAUUCAACUGGCACCUUUUAACAUAUUAAAUUAUAAUCAAAAAAAAUGUUUACAGGAUGCUAAAAUAUCUUUUAAUGAAAAAUAUUGUGAACUGUUUGCAUAUCCACUCAAAUGUAAAAAUAAUAUAACACAUUUAAGUACUUCAGGUAUACUCUCAUUAAAAAAUAAUACUGUUGACAAUGUUUAUAUGACUACUAGUAACUCAUUAGAUGAUAAUAAUAGUUUUGAUUCUCGUCGUGACACUAAUUCUCGAAGCGUUUUCUUACCACUUGAGGUUACCGAAAAUGAAAACGACAAUAUUAGUAGUUCUAAUAAUCGUCAUAACAGAAGUAAUAAAAAAUAUAAUAACAUUCAUGGUGAAUAUUUAUCUGAUGAACGUAUAUUGAAUGAGGACAAUGAUACAACAGAAUAUCGAUCAAAAGGUUCAAGUAAAAACCUUUUUGAUAAUUUUAAUUUGGGUAGUACUUUUACUGAUUAUGUUUAUUAUUUAUUAGAUCCUAGUAAAUUUUUUAUAGUUGAAUUUGCUAAUACAGAAUUGAAUAAUAAUAUUGAUGGUACUAACAAAAUGUGUGAUAGUUCUAAUAAUGACACAUGUAGUACUAUUUACAACACAAACAAUUAUAAAAAUUUUAACACUUAUAAUGAUAUAAACUGUGAAAAUAAAAAUGAAAAAAAAAAUAAAAACGAUUGCAAUAGGUCGAUAUAUAACAUAAGUGAUUAUAUAAAUAAUAAAAAAAAUGAUAAAUACGUUUGUUUAUAUUUACCAGAAGUUUAUAAACAUGCAAUUGAAAAUCAGGAUCAACAUAUUCUGAGUUUUUUAAAUUUUAUGAAUAAUAUAAAAUUAACUAAAAUACAGAAGCAAAAAGUGACUAAAAUAUUAACAUAUAAAUUAUAUGAAUAUGUUAAGAGAUCUAAAAAAACGUUUAGGCAAUUAUCCGGUUUCGUUUCGCAUGAACAUGAU